rnacentral:rRNA from 1 species
AUAGGGUCAAGUGACUAAGAGCAUGUGGUGGAUGCCUUGGCGAUUACAGGCGACGAAAGACGUGAUAGCCUGCGAUAAGCUUCGGGGAGCUGGCAAAUAAGCUUUGAUCCGGAGAUUUCUGAAUGGGGAAACCCACCUCGCAAGAGGUAUCGCAUACUGAAUACAUAGGUAUGCGAGGCGAACCGGGUGAACUGAAACAUCUCAGUAGCUCGAGGAAAAGACAUCAACCGAGAUUCCGAAAGUAGUGGCGAGCGAAAUCGGAAGAGCCUUCUAGUGAUAGCACGACUGUUAGCAAAACGGGAUGGAAAGCCCGGCCAUAGCAGGUGAUAGCCCUGUAUGCGAAAACAGACGUGUGGUACUAAGUUAGAGAAAAGUAGGGCGGGACACGAGAAAUCCUGUCUGAAUAUGGGGGGACCAUCCUCCAAGGCUAAAUACUCGUAAUCGACCGAUAGUGAACCAGUACCGUGAGGGAAAGGCGAAAAGAACCCCGGGAGGGGAGUGAAAUAGAUCCUGAAACCGCAUGCUUACAAAAAGUAGGAGCCCGCAAGGGUGACUGCGUACCUUUUGUAUAAUGGGUCAGCGACUUACAUUCAGUGGCAAGGUUAACCGAAUAGGGAAGCCGUAGAGAAAUCGAGUCCGAAUAGGGCGAAUCAGUCGCUGGGUGUAGACCCGAAACCAAGUGAUCUAUCCAUGGCCAGGAUGAAGGUGCCGUAACAGGUACUGGAGGUCCGAACCCACUAGUGUUGCAAAACUAGGGGAUGAGCUGUGGAUAGGGGUGAAAGGCUAAACAAACUUGGAAAUAGCUGGUUCUCUCCGAAAACUAUUUAGGUAGUGCCUCAAGUAUUACCUGCGGGGGUAGAGCACUGUUUAGGCUAGGGGGUCAUGGCGACUUACCAAACCUAUGCAAACUCCGAAUACCGCAGAGUACAGCUUGGGAGACAGAGCACCGGGUGCUAACGUCCGGACUCAAGAGGGAAACAACCCAGACCGCCAGCUAAGGUCCCUAAAAUUGGCUAAGUGGGAAACGAAGUGGGAAGGCUAAAACAGUCAGGAUGUUGGCUUAGAAGCAGCCAUCAUUUAAAGAAAGCGUAAUAGCUCACUGAUCGAGUCGUCCUGCGCGGAAGAUGUAACGGGGCUAAGCCAGUUACCGAAGCUGCGGAUUUGCAAUUUAUUGCAAGUGGUAGGAGAGCGUUCUGUAGGCCUGUGAAGGUGUCUGGUAACGGAUGCUGGAGGUAUCAGAAGUGCGAAUGCUGACAUGAGUAGCGUUAAAGGGGGUGAAAAGCCCCCUCGCCGUAAGCGCAAGGUUUUCUACGCAACGUUCAUCGGCGUAGAGUGAGUCGGCCCCUAAGGCGAGGCAGAGAUGCGUAGCUGAUGGGAAACAGGUCAAUAUUCCUGUACCGAUCAAUAGUGCGAUGUGGGGACGGAGAAGGUUAGCUCAGCCAACUGUUGGAUAUGUUGGUUCAAGCCUGUAGUCGUGCCUGGUAGGCAAAUCCGCCGGGCUUAGAUGAGGGGUGAUAACGAGUCUGCUUGCAGACGAAGUGAGUGAUACCCUGCUUCCAGGAAAAGCCACUAAGCUUCAGCUAUUGACGACCGUACCGCAAACCGACACUGGUGCGCGAGAUGAGUAUUCUAAGGCGCUUGAGAGAACUCAGGAGAAGGAACUCGGCAAAUUGAUACCGUAACUUCGGGAGAAGGUAUGCCCCAAGUAGGUGAACUCGUACAGAGGGAGCCCAACGGGGUUGCAAAAAAUCGGUGGCUGCGACUGUUUAAUAAAAACACAGCACUCUGCAAACACGAAAGUGGACGUAUAGGGUGUGACGCCUGCCCGGUGCUGGAAGAUUAAAUGAUGGGGUGCAAGCUCUUGAUUGAAGUCCCAGUAAACGGCGGCCGUAACUAUAACGGUCCUAAGGUAGCGAAAUUCCUUGUCGGGUAAAGUUCCGACCUGCACGAAUGGCGUAACGAUGGCCACACUGUCUCCUCCUGAGACUCAGCGAAGUUGAAAUGUUUGUGAUGAUGCAAUCUCCCCGCGGAAAGACGGAAAGACCCCAUGAACCUUUACUGUAGCUUUGUAUUGGACUUUGAACAGAUCUGUGUAGGAUAGGUGGAGGCUUUGAAGUGAGGACGCUAGUUCUCAUGGAGCCAACGUUGAAAUACCACCCUGGUGUGUUUGAGGUUCUAACCUAGGUCCAUUAUCUGGAUCGGGGACAGUGCCAUGGUAGGCAGUUUGACUGGGGCGGUCUCCUCCCAAAGCGUAACGGAGGAGUUCGAAGGUACCGCUAGUUACGUCGGACAUCGUGACGAUAGUGCAAUGGCAUAAGCGUGCUUAACUGCGA